UACAGAGGUCCCAAGCGUUGUUCGGAUUCACUGGGCGUAAAGGGUGCGUAGGUGGUGAGGUAAGUCGGAUGUGAAAGCUCGGAGCUCAACUCCGAAAUGGCAUUGGAAACUACCUUGCUCGAGGGUUGGAGGGGGGACUGGAAUACUUGGUGUAGCAGUGAAAUGCGUAGAUAUCAAGUGGAACACCAGUGGCGAAGGCGGCCUUCUGGACAGUGACUGACGCUGAGAUGCGAAAGCGUGGGGAGCAAACAGG
rnacentral:rRNA from 1 species